rnacentral:rRNA from 1 species
AUUGAACGCUGGCGGCAGGCCUAACACAUGCAAGUCGAGCGAGCGGCGGACGGGUGAGUAAUGUAUGGGGACUGCCCGCUAGAGGGGGAUAACUACUGGAAACGGUGGCUAAUACCGCAUACUAGCGUAUAACCCAUAUGGGAUUAGCUAGUAGGGGGGGUAAAGGCUCACCUAUGCGAAGAUCUCUAGCUGGUCUGAGAGGAUGAUCAGCCACACUUGGAAUGAGACAAUGCCCAGACUCCUACGGAGGCAGCAGUGGGGAAUAUUGCACAAGGGGCGCAAGCCUGAUGCAGCCAUGCCGCGUGGAUGAAGAAGGCCUUAGGGUUGUAAAGUACUUUCAGCGGGGAGGCGUUACCCGAAGAAGAAGCACCGGCUAACUCCGUGCCAGCAGCCGCGGUAAUAC